rnacentral:rRNA from 3 species
GGGUUGUGAGGUUAAGCGACUAAGCGUACACGGUGGAUGCCCUGGCAGUCAGAGGCGAUGAAGGGCGUGCUAAUCUGCGAUAAGCGCCGGUAAGGUGAUAUGAACCGUUAUAACCGGCGAUACCCGAAUGGGGAAACCCAGUGUGAUUCGUCACACUAUCAUUAACUGAAUCCAUAGGUUAAUGAGGCGAACCGGGGGAACUGAAACAUCUAAGUACCCCGAGGAAAAGAAAUCAACCGAGAUUCCCCCAGUAGCGGCGAGCGAACGGGGAGGAGCCCAGAGCCUGAAUCAGCAUGUGUGUUAGUGGAAGCGUCUGGAAAGGCGCGCGAUACAGGGUGACAGCCCCGUACACAAAAGCGCAUGUGCUGUGAGCUCGAUGAGUAGGGCGGGACACGUGGUAUCCUGUCUGAAUAUGGGGGGACCAUCCUCCAAGGCUAAAUACUCCUGACUGACCGAUAGUGAACCAGUACCGUGAGGGAAAGGCGAAAAGAACCCCGGCGAGGGGAGUGAAAAAGAACCUGAAACCGUGUACGUACAAGCAGUGGGAGCACAGGUUUACCUGUGUGACUGCGUACCUUUUGUAUAAUGGGUCAGCGACUUAUAUUCUGUAGCAAGGUUAACCGAAUAGGGGAGCCGGAGGGAAACCGAGUCUUAAUUGGGCGUUAAGUUGCAGGGUAUAGACCCGAAACCCGGUGAUCUAGCCAUGGGCAGGUUGAAGGUUGGGUAACACUAACUGGAGGACCGAACCGACUAAUGUUGAAAAAUUAGCGGAUGACCUGUGGCUGGGGGUGAAAGGCCAAUCAAACCGGGAGAUAGCUGGUUCUCCCCGAAAGCUAUUUAGGUAGCGCCUCGUGAAUUCAUCUCCGGGGGUAGAGCACUGUUUCGGCUAGGGGGCCAUCCCGGCUUACCAACCCGAUGCAAACUGCGAAUACCGGAGAAUGUUAUCACGGGAGACACACGGCGGGUGCUAACGUCCGUCGUGAAGAGGGAAACAACCCAGACCGCCAGCUAAGGUCCCAAAGUCAUGGUUAAGUGGGAAACGAUGUGGGAAGGCCCAGACAGCCAGGAUGUUGGCUUAGAAGCAGCCAUCAUUUAAAGAAAGCGUAAUAGCUCACUGGUCGAGUCGGCCUGCGCGGAAGAUGUAACGGGGCUAAACCAUGCACCGAAGCUGCGGCAGCGAACGUAUCACCCAAGACAACUUUACGGAGUUGACGAUUGACGGAGCGAAGCGACGUCAAAGCGUUCAUUAAAGUCGAGUUGGCUUAGGGAUACGUUCGUUGGGUAGGGGAGCGUUCUGUAAGCCUGUGAAGGUGUGUCGUGAGGCAUGCUGGAGGUAUCAGAAGUGCGAAUGCUGACAUAAGUAACGAUAAAGCGGGUGAAAAGCCCGCUCGCCGGAAGACCAAGGGUUCCUGUCCAACGUUAAUCGGGGCAGGGUGAGUCGACCCCUAAGGCGAGGCCGAAAGGCGUAGUCGAUGGGAAACGGGUUAAUAUUCCCGUACUUGGUGUUACUGCGAAGGGGGGACGGAGAAGGCUAUGUUGGCCGGGCGACGGUUGUCCCGGUUUAAGCGUGUAGGUGUGUGUUCCAGGUAAAUCCGGUUCACUUUAACACUGAGGCGUGACGACGAGGCACUACGGUGCUGAAGCAACAAAUGCCCUGCUUCCAGGAAAAGCCUCUAAGCAUCAGGUAACAUCAAAUCGUACCCCAAACCGACACAGGUGGUCAGGUAGAGAAUACCAAGGCGCUUGAGAGAACUCGGGUGAAGGAACUAGGCAAAAUGGUGCCGUAACUUCGGGAGAAGGCACGCUGACACGUAGGUGAAGUGAUUUACUCAUGGAGCUGAAGUCAGUCGAAGAUACCAGCUGGCUGCAACUGUUUAUUAAAAACACAGCACUGUGCAAACACGAAAGUGGACGUAUACGGUGUGACGCCUGCCCGGUGCCGGAAGGUUAAUUGAUGGGGUCAGCGCAAGCGAAGCUCCUGAUCGAAGCCCCGGUAAACGGCGGCCGUAACUAUAACGGUCCUAAGGUAGCGAAAUUCCUUGUCGGGUAAGUUCCGACCUGCACGAAUGGCGUAAUGAUGGCCAGGCUGUCUCCACCCGAGACUCAGUGAAAUUGAACUCGCUGUGAAGAUGCAGUGUACCCGCGGCAAGACGGAAAGACCCCGUGAACCUUUACUAUAGCUUGACACUGAACAUUGAGCCUUGAUGUGUAGGAUAGGUGGGAGGCUUUGAAGUGUGGACGCCAGUCUGCAUGGAGCCGACCUUGAAAUACCACCCUUUAAUGUUUGAUGUUCUAACGUGGACCCGUAAUCCGGGUUGCGGACAGUGUCUGGUGGGUAGUUUGACUGGGGCGGUCUCCUCCUAAAGAGUAACGGAGGAGCACGAAGGUUGGCUAAUCCUGGUCGGACAUCAGGAGGUUAGUGCAAUGGCAUAAGCCAGCUUGACUGCGAGCGUGACGGCGCGAGCAGGUGCGAAAGCAGGUCAUAGUGAUCCGGUGGUUCUGAAUGGAAGGGCCAUCGCUCAACGGAUAAAAGGUACUCCGGGGAUAACAGGCUGAUACCGCCCAAGAGUUCAUAUCGACGGCGGUGUUUGGCACCUCGAUGUCGGCUCAUCACAUCCUGGGGCUGAAGUAGGUCCCAAGGGUAUGGCUGUUCGCCAUUUAAAGUGGUACGCGAGCUGGGUUUAGAACGUCGUGAGACAGUUCGGUCCCUAUCUGCCGUGGGCGCUGGAGAACUGAGGGGGGCUGCUCCUAGUACGAGAGGACCGGAGUGGACGCAUCACUGGUGUUCGGGUUGUCAUGCCAAUGGCACUGCCCGGUAGCUAAAUGCGGAAGAGAUAAGUGCUGAAAGCAUCUAAGCACGAAACUUGCCCCGAGAUGAGUUCUCCCUGAGACUUAGAGUCUCCUGAAGGAACGUUGAAGACGACGACGUUGAUAGGCCGGGUGUGUAAGCGCAGCGAUGCGUUGAGCUAACCGGUACUAAUGAACCGUGAGGCUUAACCUUACAACGCCGAAG